CUUUGUUAUAAUAUUAGGUCUCAUUUUCCUUCUGUGAUUUAUGCCUUGCUUACAAGUAAGAUGCAUUUAAAGUUAAAUAUUAUUUUACAUUUAAUGAAUAAAACUGUGAUGUAUGAAGUCCUAUUUAAACAUAAUACAUGUGUGACAUUACAUAAAAUUACUAGAUUAGCUAGAAAAUAUACUGUACAUGCUUACAAAUAUAUUAAUAAAUUAAUAAAUUGAGAUUACAAACAACAUCACUUUUUAUUCUUCCAAGCAAUUUUGUUUUAUUAUCUAUAUAUGUCUAUUUUCCUGAAUUCAAAAAAUCAUCCUAGUAAUUUUAAUAUACAUGUAAAAUGAUAUGAGCCAUUUUUGGAUCUCAUUAAAAUUAAUAAUUUUAUUUGCUGUCCCUUCAUAUACUUCAUAAAACAAGCUGAUUCUCCCACAAGAAGAGUGAUACUAGGUUAAUUUUAAGAUUUUUCUGCCAUCUACAACUACAAUCUUUGAAAAAGAAUCAUAACUUGUACUAGUAUUAAAUAUGAAAGAAAUAACUUCAAACCAAUUUAUGAGGAGAAAAAUUGGCUAGAGAAGCCUGCAUGAAUUAUUGACUUUUUCAGGUUUUAUAUAUAUUUCCAAGGUAGAAAAUAGAGGAAAUUAUUUGAAAUAAGUUGAGCCAAAAUUUAAAACUCUGUAAUUGAAGAAAUGAUAUAGCAUGAGCUUUCAUCUAGUUAUCCACACUGUGUAUUUACAUUGAUUCUAUUGACCCAAUAUAAUUACACAAGUCUCUGUAAGUCUUAUAAGUGGAAGUGGAAAAUCUAGAACUAAAAAUGCCUCACUUUGGAACAACUCGGCUCAAACUUUAAUGCAACUUGGCUUCCUAUUAUUAUUAUUUGAAAAUUAUUGAUGAAUUUCCUAAAGGGAGUUUAAAAAAAAGAAAUAUGUUUAAAAAAAGGUUACACAACUAAACAAAACAUACCCAUUAAAAGAGCACUAUGUGCUUUUUUUUAUUGAACAGUGCUCUCUCUCUUUUUUUUUUUUGAACAGUGCUCUUUUACUUUUAGAAGUUUAUUUCUUCCUGUUUAGGGAAAUUCAAUUUUGUUUUUCAGGUAUCAUAGCAUUUUUAGUCAAAAAACACUUUUGUCACACUAUAGGUGGUAUAAUUCUCCUUUAUAGAAACUUGGUUUAAACAAUAACAACAACCCACCAAAAUCAAGUCAUCAGAUCAAAUUCCGUAUUUUGUAGUGCUGAUAUCAAAUGGAAAUUCCACGAAUUUAAUAGGAAGCAGACUUUUAAGUAGUUGAGAAUUUUAUAAACAUCAAGCUAUUGUAGAAAGGGCUAAAAAUAAUUUUGCCAUUGAUUAAACAUUAGAGUGUCCAAGAUUGUAUAUGUUGUGUAUUUUAUUUUUGUUUUUUGCUCGUAAACUUUAUAUAUAAGAAAAGCUUUAUAAAACAGGAAUCUCACUUAAAAAUUUUCAUUCCAGAUAAUAUUUGAAUGUAAAAUUAAAGAAAUAUGCUACUUGUCUACACAUAUUCAUUUUAUUAUAUUCGAUGAAGUUUUAGUUGAUAUUUCUGAACUAUAUAACAAAACAAAUGAAAUUUCCUAGUAAACUUAAUGUUAUUUUGACAGUGAAUUUUUAGUAAAGGUGAAUAUUUCUGAAAUCUGCAGGCUGCCUAAAGAACACCUUUGACUUCAUAGGGAUAUUCAUAUGGAUAUUCAUAGGGACUUCAUAAUCUAUUUAUAAAGAAAGUAAAAAAUAAUUCAACAUAAUACUUUAAAAAUGAUUUCAUCUUUUUUUCUAGGUAAAAGUAUCUCAGAGAUAACGGAGCAGAAGAACAAUCAUACAAUGAAUACAUGGAGUUUUAAACUUUUGUGCAUGACCCAGUGUGAAUAAUAUUACAGUAAGUAUUCAUAGAAUGAAUAAGAACAAACUCAUGUCAUUAAACUUUUUGUAAGCAAAACAUUUAUUGAUAUAUUUUAGAUAUACACAAUGAUAACACUCAUCAUGGGGAAUUUGUACCUGUACAUGAUACAUCCUGCCUCGCCUUUUUUUUUUUUGAAAAACAUUGUAAUACUGUAUAAUGACCUGUUUCAAAAAAUAAUUCCUCAAAAUAUUUUUGUAUGUAUUUUUCUAUGGGCAAAAGUGUUAUACUACAAUUAAUAUAAUUUUUCAAAAUGUAUGAAGUAUUAAUUGUCUUGGGGAUAUUACCAGACAAUUUUUAUUUGAGUUUAAUGUACCAAGACCAACAGAACAAAAAAUACACUGCUGUACUUCUAUCAUGGUAUUUUCUCCUUUUUUCAUUUUUAUGACUGAAGUAUAGAAUUAUCCCAACAUGGGACAGCACAGCAGUGAUGUACAGGCCUGUGCACACUACUUUUUAAGCCUGGGGCUCACAGGUUACUGAUACAAGUAAAUGCUCCUUUUUUCAAUGGCCCCCAGCACCAGGACAACCUUUGAAUGGACUCUUGGAGUAAGAAGGUGAGAGGUUUUCUAUUUUGAGUGUCAAAGCUGAGAAAAAUGAAGAACAUCAUUAUAAUAUAUGACAAUGCUUUCUUACUAUAUCUGUUACUCCUCUCAUUUUCCAAAUAUCUCAUGCUACUCAGCAAGUAUCUGGAAAUUCAAUGACACAAAAAACUGGAGUAAAAAAUUGUGUGAGCUGGAAUUGAGAUGUUGGAGUUUGACAUACAUCUGAUAAGCAUUAGGAAAAUUAUCCAAGAAGCAGAUUAAUUAGCAGUCCAUGUGAAAAUGUUAGUCCAAGUAAUCAAUAUAGAUAAUUGUUUUAGUCAAGGUGUUGAGUGGUAUUUCUAAAGCAUGCAUCGCUGAGUUUAAAUUGACACUGUUCUUUAUAGUUCUAGGAACUACAAAUUAAGACUGGACUUUGAAUUUCAUAGCAGUAUUGUGAUGCUUAUUUCUAAAAGAUUAGCCAUAUCUUUUGAAGAAAGAUUUUAUUUCUAGGUAUUUUAUGUUUUUGUAAUUUAUAAAUUUCAUUAAGUAAUUUAGGGAAAAUAGGGUGAUGUUUCAUGGAAUUAAACUGUAUUGGAACUCUGCCUGGGAGAGAUACAGUAUUCAGCUCUCUUAAACCUACCUGUGUCUUCAACUGAGGCCUCUUGAUUUCAAAUCAAAACUUCCCAAUAUAUGCUGAUAUUCUGGCAAAAGAAAUUUCAUUUAAGCUAUUAAAAUUUAAUUGAUAUAAAUUUGUUGUUUGAAAUUUUUUGAAGCCAUAUUUAAAGCAUCUUUAUGAACACAAAAAUCUGAAUAUGUUCUUUCUUUACUCUAAAACUUACACAUCUAAUGAAUGAGCUUGUCCUACCAGCUCAUACAGUGGCGGCGAGCCUAUUGCACUUGUGCUGCAGUGAGCAUGCAGAGCCCUCUCUGUCGGCAUGUGAGCCAAGUUGCCUCAGCAGUGGAGCAUCAGAUAACAGUUGGUUUUUCUAAAUUAAAACCUCAAUAUUCAAGUUUCAUUGCAGUGUUGGCACAUUGUGAUAAGUGUGCUUCGGGUUGCAGUUUGGGCACUCGGUC
ensembl:lncRNA